CAAGGUGUACAAUAAUAGAGUAGAGGCAGCCAAGUAGCAACAUAUUUCUCAGUUGCAAUUCCUUGCCUCCACUGCGAGACAAACCCCAGCCACAUCUCCAGCACCCAAGAGCUUCCAAACGCCUAAAGCGCAGUGGCCAGGCAUUCCUCCAGAACCGCCUCUCCCAGGAGCUUGCUACAAGUGACAGAAAUCUGGCCACCAGGCCAAGGAAUGCCUGCAGCCCGGGAUUCCUCCUGAGCCAUGUCCCAUCUGUGUGGGACCCCACUAGAAAUCGGACUGUUCAACUCACCUGGCAGCCACUCCCAGAGCCCCUGGAACUCCAGCCCAAGGCUCUCUGACUGACUCCUUCCCAGAUCUUCUUGGCUUAGCAGCUGCAGACCGACAGUGCCCGAUCGAUCACCUCGGAAGCCUACAGGACCAUCACAGACGCUCUACGUUACUCUCACAGUGGAACGUGAUCGAGUGUGGAUCAAGAACUGGAACGUAGCCUCUUUGUGUCCACUGUGGAAAGGACCCCAGACUGUCGUUCUGAGCACUCCCACCGCUGUGAAGGUAGAAGGAAUCCCAGCCUGGAUCCACCACAGCCAUGUAAAACCUGCAGCGCCUGAAACCUGGGAGGCAAGACCAAGCCCAGACAACCCCUGCAGAGUGACCCUGAAGAAGACGACAAGCCCUGCUCCAGUCACACCCGGAAGCUGACUGGUCCACGCACGGCCGAAGCCUGAGGAAGCUCAUCAUGAGAUUCAUUUUUCUUAAAUUUUGGACUUAUACAGUAAGGGCUUCAACUGAUCUUACUCAAACUGGGGACUGUUCCCAGUGUACUCAUCAGGUCACCGAAGUAGGACAGCAAAUUAAAACAAUCUUUCUGUUCUAUAGUUAUUAUGAA
rnacentral:lncRNA from 1 species